AUUCAAUACACAGAUAUUCCUUACUAGGGAUAAGUAUUAAUUCCAAUGAUUUAAUAGGUUUUCUAAUGUUAAAUUGAAAACUAUAUGAAAAUAUUGCACAAGCCGUUGAGUAAAAAUUAUUUUCUAAGCAGAAUUAGCAUUUCUUAAUAAAUAUGUGUAAAACUCUGGUUUAGUCAUUUUUAAUUGGUAUUUUCCAACAAUUUCUUGAAUUUUUAAACGUCUACGAAUGUGCCCGGGUUGAAAACUGAAAAAUAUAAAUAUUCAGAUAGAUAGAUAAUUUGGAACAAAAGCACUUCACCAAGCCCUUCACAAAUUAAAUUGCUAGAACCAUUAUUCUAUUUAUUUUAAUUUUACUUAUAUUUAUUUACGGGCUCAGUACCCAAUAGAACAGUAAGUAAUACAAUAUUAGAAAUAAUACAUUAAUUAUGACAAUAUAACAUAAUCAUGGGAGUAGACAUGCAAAAAAUAGUAUUAUACAUUGGUAA
rnacentral:lncRNA from 1 species